AUUGAACGCUGGCGGCAGGCCUAACACAUGCAAGUCGAGCGGAGCGGCGGACGGGUGGGUAAUGCCUAGGAAGCUGCCUGGUAGUGGGGGAUGACGUCCGGAAACGGGAGCUAAUACCGCAUACUAUCAGAUGAGGCGAGGUGGGAUUAGCUAGUUGGUGGGGUAAAGGCGUACCAGGGCGACGAUCCGUAACUGGGCUGAGAGGCUGAGCAGUCACACUGGAACUGAGACACGGUCCAGCCUCCUACGGGAGGCAGCAGUGGGGAAUAUUGGACAAUGGGCGAAAGCCUGAUCCAGCCAUGCCGCGUGUGUGAAGAAGGUCUUCGGACUGUAAAGCACUUUAAGUUGGGCGGCGUUACCAACAGAAUAAGCACCGGCUAACUUCGUGCCAGCCGCCGCGGUAAUUC
rnacentral:rRNA from 1 species